rnacentral:rRNA from 1 species
AGCAGUAGCCGCGGUAAAACGUAGGUGGCAAGCGUUGUCCGGAAUUAUUGGGCGUAAAGGGCUCGCAGGCGGUUUCUUAAGUCUGAUGUGAAAGCCCCCGGUUCAACCGGGGAGGGUCAUUGGAAACUGGGAAAUUUGAGUGCAGAAGAGGAGAGUGGAAUUCCACGUGUAGCGGUGAAAUGCGUAGAGAUGUGGAGGAACACCAGUGGCGAAGGCGACUCUCUGGUCUGUAACUGGCGCUGAGGAGCGAAAGCGUGGGGAGCGAACAGGAUUAGAUACCCCUGUAGUCCCUGUCUCUUAUAU